rnacentral:lncRNA from 1 species
UUUUUUUCUUUUCCAGGAUCCUACACAGGGUAGGAACUGCAAUUGUCUUUAGCCAUGUGGUCACCCUAGUCUCUAUCCUCAGGCACAGCUGCUCAGUCUUUCCUUGUGGCUCAAGGCCUUGACACAUUUAAAGAACACCAGUCAGCCAUUUUGUAGCACUAUCCUCAUUUGGUUUCCCUAAUCUUUUCUCACAGUUGGAAUAAACGUAGGCCUCUUUUGUCAAGGAAGCCAAAGAAAUAAUGUUGUGCACUUCUGUGUACAGAGGCAAUCUUUAUUUUCUCAGUGUCUGAAUUUCUCCCUUGAAGUGGAGUUCCUUGAACAAAAGAUGCAUCGAGUUUUCUCAUCAUUCCUAAGCAUAUGUCCUUUGAAAGUGUGGCCAGUGCUUGGACUUGAAGAGGAAAAAGCAAAGGUAUACUUAGAGGGACUGGGCUAGUUGCUAGAUAUAAAACUUCAUAAAUACAUCCAUUCAAUUAUUUAACUCCUAGUAUUUUCCUUCACAUUUCAAUGUGAUGAAAAUAAUUUGAUUCAUUUUUGUUAAGUGGAUUUAAUUUGGGGUGGAAAAUGUGCUUUAAGAAAUCAUCUGUAAUGACCACCACAUGAGACAAUCUUUUCUAUAGAAAUCAGUUGUAUGUUUCCUUU